rnacentral:rRNA from 1 species
AACGAACGCUGGCGGCAGGCCUAACACAUGCAAGCCGAACGCUUCACUUCGGUGAAGAGUGGCGAACGGGUGAGUAAUACAUAAGUAACCUGGCAUCUACAGGGGGAUAACUGAUGGAAACGUCAGCUAAGACCGCAUAGGUGUAGAGAUCGCAUGAACUCUAUAUGAAAAGUGCUACGGGACUGGUAGAUGAUGGACUUAUGGCGCAUUAGCUGGUUGGUAGGGUAACGGCCUACCAAGGCGACGAUGCGUAGCCGACCUGAGAGGGUGACCGGCCACACUGGGACUGAGACACGGCCCAGACUCCUACGGGAGGCAGCAGUAGGGAAUUUUCGGCAAUGGGGGAAACCCUGACCGAGCAACGCCGCGUGAAGGAAGAAGUAAUUCGUUAUGUAAACUUCUGUCAUAGAGGAAGAACGGUGGAUAUAGGGAAUGAUAUCCAAGUGACGGUACUCUAUAAGAAAGCCACGGCUAACUACGUGCCAGCCGCCGCCGUAAAAC